UCGAUUUACAUCAUUCGCCCACGAAAAAUUAUUUGGUACAAAAUUCAACAUCCACUACUCUUCGGAAUGGAGCCAAAGACUCCCAUGCUUAAUCUUCAUUUCACUCUUGGAAUGCAAAGUAAAUCCCUUGGUCAUGAGCUGAAGAUAAACCACCAAUUUAUAUGUUUUCGCCAAUUAAAAAAAAAGUAUAUACAUAUAUUGAGUUCAACUUAGACACCAACGUAUGAUCAAAAGACCCUCCUACUGUCUAAGUUUGUUACUAGAGUCAUUAAAUUUACUUAAAAGAAGGUCAAAAUUAAAAAGAAAUAAUUGUAGUCGUGGUUUCAAAUUUAUUUCAUUUUAUUUUAUUUUUGAAGAUUAUAUUCAAACCUUUUACUUUUGCCACCUGUUAUCAUCCUAAACAUUUAAAACUUCAUCUUCUUCACCAAUUUCACCCCACCCUAAACCGCAACCCAGAAACGAAUUCCAUUGAGUUUUUCUUGAGUGUAAAUUUCCAAUUUACUUUCUUGAAAAAACUCCUUCUUAGCGCAAGUAUAUAUAUUCUUCCCAAAUUUGUAGUUUUACAGUUUAUUUCCGUUUUAGUCGCUAAAAAUCUGCUCUUCCUUUAUAUUAUCAUCCGAAAAUCAUCAAGUCGAUGCUCUUACUGGUGCAAUUUUCAAUCUCUAUUGGGAAGUCCAAUUUUUAUCAUUUUCCUGGUGAAUUUAUAAGAAUGAACAAGAAAAAAAUUUCACCGACAAACUUAAAUAUACGUGUAAUAAAUACUGUCUGACAUGCGUAAGUGAGGACAGAGAUGUGACCUAUAGAGCUAGAUAGAUCCUCGGUGGAAGUAGUGGUCAAGACACGAAAUGAUAGAGAGUAGAGACAAUGGUGAGUAAAGGGCAUGGCUCCAACUGAGUCAAUCGAAGGGAAUGUCUACGAGUUGGCCCUCCUUUAAUGAAGACAAAAUUGUUGCGGGCAGAAGAAUAGCAUUGGAAAGUGAAGAAGUGGUUAAAGAGGAGGUUGCUGACACUGCACUGCCACAAAUCAGUUAGUUUAACAGCUGGCGAAUCAAACUCGAACUUCGAGCGCAGCAUCGAACCCAAAACACUUUUUUCGGAUAGUGAAGAGAGGGAAUGGUUGUAUUAGUGUUAACAACAUUUUCGGUCUAUGGUAUAUCUUUUUAAGUCCUACAUACAGGAAGAACUCCAUCUCAGGGUUUUGGUUUUGGGGUGGAGGCAAAAUUGGGAAGAAGAUGAAGUUUUGAGGAUAAGGUAGGAUAUGGUGG
rnacentral:lncRNA from 1 species